AACGAACGCUGGCGGCGCGCCUAAUACAUGCAAGUCGAGCGAGAAGACGUAGCAAUACGUUUGUAAAGCGGCGAACGGGUGAGGAAUACAUGGGUAACCUACCCUCGAGUGGGGAAUAACUAGCCGAAAGGUUAGCUAAUACCGCGUACGCUCCUUGGACUUCGGUUCAGGGAGGAAAGCGAUACCGUGGGUAUCGCGCUCUUGGAUGGACUCAUGUCCUAUCAGCUUGUUGGNGAGGUAACGGCUCACCAAGGCUUCGACGGGUAGCUGGUCUGAGAGGACGAUCAGCCACACUGGCACUGCGACACGGGCCAGACUCCUACGGAGGCAGCAGUAAGGAAUAUUGCGCAAUGGGCGAAAGCCUGACGCAGCGACGCCGCGUGGGGGAUGAAGGUCUUCGGAUUGUAAACCCCUUUCGGGAGGGAAGAUGGAAUGGGGUAACCCGAUUCGGACGGUACCUCCAGAGCAGCCACGGCUAACUUCGUGCCA
rnacentral:rRNA from 1 species